CAGUCGCCGCGGGAAUACGAAGGUCCCGAGCGUUGUUCGGAACCACUGGGCGUAAAGGGAGCGUAGGCGGCGUGGUAAGUCAGAUGUGAAAUCCCGGGGCUCAACCCCGGAACUGCAUCCGAUACUGCCGUGCUAGAGGAUUGGAGAGGUAGCUGGAAUUCUUGGUGUAGCAGUGAAAUGCGUGGAGAUCAAGAGGAACACUCGUGGCGAAAGCGAGCUACUGGACAAUAUCUGACGCUGAGGCUCGAAGGCCAGGGUAGCGAAAGGGAUUAGAUACCCCGGUAGUCCCUGUCUCUUAUAC
rnacentral:rRNA from 1 species